UUAAGUCGAGGUUGCAACCAGAGAUAUUUGCAACACCGUGAUUUUCAUUUUUAAAACGCUAUAUUUUUGAACAAGUCCUUUUUAUGAUUGUUUUCAACAUUUGCUUGUUGUGCCUUUUUAUAUUUCAUAAGUAAUGGAUAGUUCAGUGUCUGUCGAUGGUUACUUUGUCGAUUUAAUUGACGAUAAGUGGCGUUCCGAUAAAUUACCACAAGACGACAUCACUGUACCAAUUUACGAAUUGGCUGAUCCCGAAGCCGACUCCGGUGACAUUCAUUUAACCCUUAAAGAACAGGAACAAAAGUGGACUGAUAUCGCCCUUAGUGCCUUAAGUGAACAUCAAUAAUGGAAUUGCCAAACUUGGGUCAGCAUUGUUCACAUAAGGACUAAAUGAAAGACUGCUGGCAAAAUCUACAGAACGUGUAUCUCAUUUUGGUAUGCAGUCGGAAUAUCAGGAUUAUUACGUGAAACAAACAUUUUCAUAUUUGUAUCCAUAUUUGGAAGAUCUUUGCAUUGAAUUCGAGGAUUCGUUACCUGAAGAAAAUCGCUGGCAAAAUUUAUCACCACCGGGAAUGUACUGUACCGAAUAUUGUAAUAUCGGAGGUCCUUCUGUUAGAUGUAUAGUGGAUGUAGAAAGCAUCAAGAAAAAAGCACGUGUUGAUUCUGAAAACUGUUGUCCCAUCUAAUGCUGUAAUUUUCAAAAAAUAAAGAAUUACAUUGGA